rnacentral:rRNA from 1 species
UACGUAGGGGGCAAGCGUUGUCCGGAUUUAUUGGGCGUAAAGAGCGUGUAGGCGGCUAGGUAGGUCCGUUGUGAAAACUCGAGGCUCAACCUCGAGCUGUCGAUGGAAACCAUCUAGCUAGAGUCCGGAAGAGGAGAGUGGAAUUCCUGGUGUAGCGGUGAAAUGCGCAGAUAUCAGGAAGAACACCCGUAGCGAAGGCGGCACUCUGGGCCGGAACUGACGCUGAGGAGCGAAAGCGUGGGGAGCGAACAGG